AGAGUUUGAUCCUGGCUCAGGAUGAACGCUGGCGGCGUGCUUAACACAUGCAAGUCGAACGAAGCACUUUAUUUGAUUUCCUUCGGGACUGAUUAUUUUGUGACUGAGUGGCGGACGGGUGAGUAACGCGUGGGUAACCUGCCUUGUACAGGGGGAUAACAGUUGGAAACGGCUGCUAAUACCGCAUAAGCGCACAGCAUCGCAUGAUGCAGUGUGAAAAACUCCGGUGGUAUAAGAUGGACCCGCGUUGGAUUAGCUAGUUGGUGAGGUAACGGCCCACCAAGGCGACGAUCCAUAGCCGACCUGAGAGGGUGACCGGCCACAUUGGGACUGAGACACGGCCCAAACUCCUACGGGAGGCAGCAGUGGGGAAUAUUGCACAAUGGGCGAAAGCCUGAUGCAGCGACGCCGCGUGAGCGAAGAAGUAUUUCGGUAUGUAAAGCUCUAUCAGCAGGGAAGAUAAUGACGGUACCUGACUAAGAAGCACCGGCUAAAUACGUGCCAGCAGCCGCGGUAAUACGUAUGGUGCAAGCGUUAUCCGGAUUUACUGGGUGUAAAGGGAGCGCAGGCGGUGCGGCAAGUCUGAUGUGAAAGCCCGGGGCUCAACCCCGGUACUGCAUUGGAAACUGUCGUACUAGAGUGUCGGAGGGGUAAGCGGAAUUCCUAGUGUAGCGGUGAAAUGCGUAGAUAUUAGGAGGAACACCAGUGGCGAAGGCGGCUUACUGGACGAUAACUGACGCUGAGGCUCGAAAGCGUGGGGAGCAAACAGGAUUAGAUACCUUGGGUAGUCCACGCCGUAAACGAUGAAUACUAGGGUGUUGGGAAAGCAUUACUUCUCGGUGCCGUCGCAAACACAGUAAGUAUUCCACCUGGGGAGUACGUUCGCAAGAAUGAAACUCAAAGGAAUUGACGGGGACCCGCACAAGCGGUGGAGCAUGUGGUUUAAUUCGAAGCAACGCGAAGAACCUUACCAAGUCUUGACAUCCUUCUGACCGGUACUUAAUCGUACCUUCUCUUCGGAGCAGGAGUGACAGGUGGUGCAUGGUUGUCGUCAGCUCGUGUCGUGAGAUGUUGGGUUAAGUCCCGCAACGAGCGCAACCCUUAUCUUUAGUAGCCAGCGGUCAGGCCGGGCACUCUAGAGAGACUGCCAGGGAUAACUUGGAGGAAGGCGGGGAUGACGUCAAAUCAUCAUGCCCCUUAUGACUUGGGCUACACACGUGCUACAAUGGCGUAAACAAAGGGAAGCAAAGCUGUGAAGCCGAGCAAAUCUCAAAAAUAACGUCUCAGUUCGGACUGUAGUCUGCAACCCGACUACACGAAGCUGGAAUCGCUAGUAAUCGCAGAUCAGAAUGCUGCGGUGAAUACGUUCCCGGGUCUUGCACACACCGCCCGUCA
rnacentral:rRNA from 1 species